AAUGUGUAACUAUCAAUCAAUCUUUGAAAAUAGACAAGGAAAAAGUUAGUCAUAACAAUUUACAUGAGAAGCCACUACGUGAUCCUCAAGAGAAAAAAACAAAAGGUGCUCCAAGAAGAAUUAAGAGUGGAAUAGAGAAAGGUCGUAAAAGAACAUCUAAUGAUAAAAAAAAGAAGUGAUUUGAAGUCUGUCAUUGUUUAAAGUGAAAUAAUAUCUCACAUGAUGAAAUCAAAGUUGCAUCAACAACGAUGGCAAAUCAAGAGUGUUCGAGGAGUUAAUAAAGUUGUUAUAGAGAUUUGUUUUGUAGGAUUUUUUAUUGGAUUUUUGUGCAAACUAGAUGAUUUUACUGCAUUUGGUAGUGUUGAUUUUAUAAUUCAGCUAGAUCUCUUCACAGACCAUAUAUUGUUACUUAUAUAUACUUCUUAAUUUAUAUUCAAAUAUUGU